GACGAACGCUGGCGGCGUGCCUAAUACAUGCAAGUAGAACGCUGAAGGAGGAGCUUGCUUCUCCGGAUGAGUUGCGAACGGGUGAGUAACGCGUAGGUAACCUGCCUGGUAGCGGGGGAUAACUAUUGGAAACGAUAGCUAAUACCGCAUAACAGUAGAUAUUGCAUGAUAUCUGCUUGAAAGGUGCAAUUGCAUCACUACCAGAUGGACCUGCGUUGUAUUAGCUAGUUGGUGAGGUAACGACUCACCAAGGCGACGAUACAUAGCCGACCUGAGAGGGUGAUCGGCCACACUGGGACUGAGACACGGCCCAGACUCCUACGGGAGGCAGCAGUAGGGAAUCUUCGGCAAUGGACGGAAGGCUGACCGAGCAACGCCGCGUGAGUGAAGAAGGGUGUCGGAUCGUAAAGCUCUGUUGUAAGAGAAGAACGAGGGUGAGAGUGGAAAGUUCACACUGUGACGGUAGCUUACCAGAAAGGGACGGCUAACUACGUG
rnacentral:rRNA from 1 species